GGAGGGGGGUCUCUUUUAUUGCAACUCUAAGUAUUUGCAGCCUGCUUUAGGUGAACGUGUUUUCCAAGACGGUCUCUCUCCCGCUGUUGCGUAGUUGCAGCUUCUUGUUGGCAGGAAUGGGCCAAGGACUUCAGGGACAGGACUGUGGAACACGGAGUGAAUAUUUGGAGAGCUUAAAAAAAAAAGACAAAAAGACAGAUUCUUAAUUCAGUCUUGAUCAUAAUCAUUUUGUAAUGAUCACUGUGAGCAUCGAGCCUAACGUCUAUAGCAUCACUGUCCCUGCUCCUAUCCAGACCGUUGACAGCAAUCACUUAUUUGCACUGCCACGUAUCUGCCUAUGGCUGUGAAGAAUGCAGUUAGCUAGCGCAAAGCUGUCCUCAACGUGGCAGUCCGUAGAGCAGAGAAAAUCUACUUUGGCAGCAUAACAGCUAACCAUGGUUAGCUCGUCUCCUUCCUCCUGAUUUCCUAGUGGUAAUUAUUUCCCAUUGACUCAGACCAAGGGACAGUGCGGGCACCCAACGAAUAGUAUGCAGCUGAUAUGGAGAAUAAACCAGGUCAACUGAAUGAGUCAGCACAAGCAACAUCAAGACUUCUCAUUUUCUUAUGGCAUAAUUGCACCAUGAGAGUCACAGAAGACUUCAUAUACAAGGUUGGUGAGAGCAACAUGUAUCAAAAAAGGGACUGCAGUUUAAAGCUAGGGCUAGGACUUGGAGGAUGUGUAGGCAAACGGAAGGAGAGCCGGGGGAAGAAAAACCGAAAUGGAUUCAUUCUCUGUCCUGGAUGGAGGAGGAGAGGAGAAGAAGGGGACGUGCGAGCUUCCUUCAACUGCCUCUGUCCGGUGAAAAGUGAUCAAACCCCCGGGGCUCACUAG
rnacentral:lncRNA from 1 species